AGACAGAGGGUGCAAACGUUGUUCGGAAUUACUGGGCGUAAAGCGCGUGUAGGCUGUUACGCAAGUCGGGUGUGAAAGCCCUGGGCUCAACCCAGGAAGUGCACUCGAAACUGCGUUGACUUGAAUCUCGGAGAGGGUGGCGGAAUUCUGGGUGUAGAGGUGAAAUUCGUAGAUAUCCAGAGGAACACCGGUGGCGAAGGCGGCCACCUGGACGAGUAUUGACGCUGAGACGCGAAAGCAUGGGGAGCAAACAGGAUUAGGUACCCCAGUAGUCC
rnacentral:rRNA from 1 species